rnacentral:rRNA from 1 species
UACAGAGGUCUCAAGCGUUGUUCGGAUUCAUUGGGCGUAAAGGGUGCGUAGGCGGCGCGGUAAGUCGGGUGUGAAUCUCGGGGCUUAACUCCGAAACUGCAUUCGAUACUGCCGUGCUUGAGGACUGGAGAGGAGACUGGAAUUUACGGUGUAGCGGUGAAAUGUGUAGAUAUCGUAAGGAAGACCAGUGGCGAAGGCGGGUCUCUGGACAGUUCCUGACGCUGAGGCACGAAGGCCAGGGGGAGCAAACGGGG